UACGGAGGGAGCUAGCGUUGUUCGGAAUUACUGGGCGUAAAGCGCACGUAGGCGGCUACUCAAGUCAGAGGUGAAAGCCCGGGGCUCAACCCCGGAACUGCCUUUGAAACUAGGUAGCUAGAAUCUUGGAGAGGUCAGUGGAAUUCCGAGUGUAGAGGUGAAAUUCGUAGAUAUUCGGAAGAACACCAGUGGCGAAGGCGACUGACUGGACAAGUAUUGACGCUGAGGUGCGAAAGCGUGGGGAGCAAACAGGG
rnacentral:rRNA from 1 species